CAGGCUUCGGUUGAACAGAAGAACCUUGGAGUCUAGUGUAGUAUCAGAGAUUCAAGUACCUGGGCAGUCUGCACGUGAUGCCUGUUGAGCCCCAGAAAGGCCGUGCCACUACAGGAGCGCACAGCGGGAUAAGGGCUCUGCUGGAUGAGCAGCUGGAGUGAGAAUCCAGGCAGCCUGCUCACAGGCCAGACCCACCACCACACCCUGACACCGGUCCCUGUCCAGGAAUAGCUCUGAAAGAAGAGGCACUGCCAGGCCCCUGCAGCAUAGAAGAGACUUCUAUCAUAACUGUUCAAUGGCCGAGUGAAUACUAUUGUAAGUGCAAAACCAUGGUGCAGAAGAAGUAUUUUUUUAAUCUGUAUGGGGGGAAUGUAUGUGUUUGUUUAAGAGUGAAUGGGUAAGUAUGGUCAUUACUAAAGAUAUUUGUAGAUCACCAGCGUGUUCGCCAGCAGGAACACGAGAUGAAGCAGCACCCAUUCUGGGGUCACAGUUCACAGUUUCCUUAGAAUCUGAAGGUAAAUGCCGUCAUCCUUGGUUCUACCAAUGAGGCAGGCUUCUAAGCCCAGGAGGCAGUGAGUACUGGCAGAGAGAGAGCACUGUCCUCCUGUUUUGGAGUCAGAUAGACUUUGAUUUUGUCUUGCCCUCUUCCCAGCUUUGUGACCACGGGCAUGAGAGAAAGAGGGCCUGUGUCUUCAUUCCCUUGCCAACUGUUCAAUGUAUUAUUUCCUGAUUUCUUUAUCAGUCAAAUUAGGUGGGAAAAUGGAAUCUCAUUGCUGUUUAUAUUUGCAUUAUUAGAGAAGGUGAAUAUCUUUUAUGUGUUAGUUUUAGUUUUUAUUUGAGAUGUUUGGGUUUUGAGGGGCCUCGAUAAAUAACACCUUCCUUUCUCCACUGAACAAAAUGAUUUUAAAAAAAUGGCAUUGCAGAUGGAAGCCAAAAUAUCAGCUUUAUUACAAAGGUAAAGUAAGUUACAGGGUGUUGAUUGUCGUGAGGGUCAAAUGGGCUUGUAACAGAACCCUAGAUUUAAGCAAAGUUACCCGAUCAGCCUAGAAGCUUGCAACCCUGUAAGAAGGAGAGUGAUACCUGUAGGUGAACUGCAUGAACUUGCUUCAUGGGGAAGUAAAUAUAAGGAGUAAGGAAGAUUAAUCCCUCAGAGCACUGUGAACUGCCUGUUUAUGUACAGCUGCUAACCAAAGGGUACGCAGUUCGAAUCCACCAGACGCUCCUUGGAAAUUCUAUGGGGCAGUUUUACUCUGUCCUGUAGGGUCACUAUGAGUCCAAAUCCACUCAAUGGCACUGGGUUUGGGUUUUUUUGGGGGGUGAUCCCCUUUAUUUACCUUGUUGUGUAUUUUUUAUUAAUUUGUAGAGCUACUUCAGGCUAGAGAUAUUUUUUGUAUUGAAGACAAUUUUGUCAGGUUCUUUUAUUUUCAACUUUGGCAUAUUGUGUUUUUACCAUAGUGUGUGUGUGCGUGUUUGCAAUUUUGGUAUUUUCAGAUACAUACCUCUUUUCUUGAAGGAUUACAGUUGAUGUUUUAUAUUUAGAAAUGACUUCAGUUGAAAAAACUCCAAAACUUCCUGAAGGAUGAAUGAGAAGACCUGACUAAAAGGAGAGAAGAAUUAAAAUUGUAGUGGAUUAAUUCUCCAAAGAAUGUCUUGCUCACUGCAGUCAGAAACAAGGACCUAGCGGUUCUUUUUAAUGACCGACUGGGUCUUAAAAUCAUUUGUAAAAAUGAGAUGCCAGAAAAGGCAAGAAAAACAAGUAAGGGACAUCUUUAACUGUGUUUUUUAUUACAUGAUAAAGGUAUUUAUUUGCUGCCUCUUCUUUACAGGAAAUAACCUACUCCUGGGGUUUGAAUGGAAAUUAAAGAGAUACAUGUUACCAUUCCACUUCAGAGUUCUUCAAAAAUGAACAUUUCUUCUUAUUAAGUGUAUUUCAGUUUAAC